rnacentral:lncRNA from 1 species
UUUUUUUUUUUUUGGGUAUAUUCCUGUAUAGAUAAUAUCUUGUUUGAGUUGAACUAAUCAAGGAUGAUUGUUGCCAGCAAGCUGAGAAGACUUUGGAGAAUCCUUUUCAGAAUCACUUCUGUGGAAAAGCUAAAGAAUUGGGGAUUGGUUUUGUUGCUCAAUUAAAGGCAUGUUUCUAUCUAAGCAAGUUAAAGUCUCCUGGUUACAAGUUAUGUUUUCAGUCUCGCCACAUGUUGUGCUGAUAAUUUCAGGUUGGUAAAUCAUGAUCCUAUUGAGAAAAAAAAAACCCCUAUGAUCUCAAUUAUUUCCUUCUACUGAUUUUCUGCCCUUGCUUCCCCUUUUUGCCGGUAGACAUAGUUAGUUAAAGCUUUUGAACUUAUUCUUCUAUAGCAUGUGAGCUUACAAGAGUUACCAGAGAUAUACCUUGCUCCAUAUUUAAGGUUUUGCAGCAUAUAUACAUGUUCAAACGUGCAUUAUACCACAACGCAUUGACAAACAUCCUUUAUCUUUUCGUAUCAUUUGCUGAUAAAACAUCCUAGAAAACUGAUAUUUAUUUUCUUUCUUUAUUGUGCAAGACCAAGAAUCUAUCUGUAUUAGAAUUUCAUGUCUGCAACAUGCUAUUUCAUUGCUGAAUAUUAAAGCCUGAAUCUCUAGGAGGCCCAACCUCAAGUUGGUGCAUGGUCAUCAUCUUAUCUGAUUUAUCCCUCGUGUCCAUGUCACUUCUACCCUAGAUGAUAUAAUUAAUGAACCAACAAGUCUUAGAUUUUAAGAGGUUAUGCCUGCCCCUUCAUGUUGGACGAUGGCCUACUUUCCAACAAAUGCUGCAGCUAGUUCACCAUAAACUCUCUCUUCUCUUAUACAAGCUAUACUCAAAAUUAUUCUAAAUUAAUCUAAUAGAUUCGAUUAAUUUCUAGGUAUGGUUGGUAGUUGAGGCUGGAGAGGGGUCCCCCCCAUCCCAAGUUGGGGUCCACAUGAAAUGUGAAUACUAAAUACUAAUCAUGUGGGUUAUUCAAGACGUGCCAUUGCAAAUUCGCAAUCAGCAUGCUAAACGCUCCUCCUAGCUUUUCAUGAUUAUAAUUUGCUGAAAGGGUCAUUUUCACUUUUCUUUGUGGUUACUCAGUCUACUUCCACACGUUAGCAAAGAGGAGGAGAGGAGGAAAGGAGGAGGAUGACGAAGAAGAAGAAAGCUGUUUGCUUCAACCUAAAAAAGAAAAUUUGACUAUCUUGCACGUGAACUUGCUUUGUUAGUUCUUUUGACAUUAAAAUAAACAAGGGAGAUUCACUAUAAUACGUAAUAUAGGAGCCCAAAUUAUAAAAUAAAAAAACUUAUAUGAAAUGGACUUUAGAAACACGCUCAAAGCUCAUUUACAACAUAAUAAAAAGGCUUUUAACUUCUUUUAAAUUACAAAACUAUCAUUGAUUUCUUAAAACAAAUCUAACUCCAAAACCUUAUAAAAAAGCCCAAAACAUUUAAUGAGGCAUCAAAGUAAUUUAAUAAUCAAAAUUAAAUUCAAUAGGUGUAGGGUUUAUUUUUUGGAUUUAUUUAUAGAAAUUAAAUGGUGUAAAGUUUAUUCAUAGUUUUAGUGCUAAAAAUGAGUAUAUGACUAAAUAUCUCGAUAAGUAAUGUCUAAACUCACUCCUUACUCUUUUCAGAAAUUUUCUCCUUCAGAUUGGGGACUCUUCGCAUAUGUGCCAUGUUAUGUUAUGUAUUUUUAUUUUUUAUAUACUUCAAAAUUGUUUAUUCGUUGACGUGGGCAUUAUGAUUCCAAGUUUCGAACUCAUAGUUGACAUUAUAUAAAAUAAAAAUAAUAAUAAAAAAAUAAUAAAAAAAAAAAAGGGAUCCACAAUGACGUGAUGCAAUAAACUUAGUUCCGAGAGCAUAUUUGUUACUUAAAAACACAACUUGGAUGCAAGCGAAAAGAUUACCUAACUGGACGAAUGUUUAAAUUUUACGUUAUUGUCUUGGUUGACCCUAAACUUGUUGCAAAAGACCCCAAUUGUUUGUUAUAUACGGGUCAAACCUUCAAAAAUUAUUCUCAGGAUCUACCUUGAUUUUUGCGUUUUCCAUUAUUGAAUCCAAAUUAUGUAGUAAUAAGAAAUGAAAAAAAAAUAAAAUUUAAAAACCGCACAAUUAAUCCCAACAAGAAAAACCGAAAAAUGGAAUCCCAUUUUGUUUCAAGUUUGUUUUCUCUUUUCGGUUUAAACUAAAGUCCGAAAACGAGAAAACGACGUUUAAUAACUAUUCUUAUACCGUCAACAUGAGUACAAAUCACUCGCAUAGUUUUCCUUAUAAAACAGAAAGCAAGUCUUCAAAAAGGUUUUGUCCAAAAAAAAAAAAAAAGUCUUCAAAAAGUUAACAAACAAGGCCUAAAUCUUGUAAGGUAGCUUUGAUUUCUUUCCUAAAUUCCCGGUAGAAUUGAAAGCUUUUGAAGAAAACGCAUAUAUAGAUAAAUCCUCUAUUUUGUAAUAAUUGGAUUAGGCGACUUAGCGCUAUUGUCACGGCGAGUUGGCGAAAUUAGGCGUACGUAUGUUGCAACUUUUGUAGACUUCGGUUUCGUUUGUCCCUUAAUAAGACCCUUCUUCUGUAUGUGCAAAGCCAUUAAACAAAGCCCCUCUAAACUCAUCACUUAGCCCCUAACCCAACUCAGUUACUCAAAAUCUCAAACCGCAGAUUAAAUCAGUAACAGCAACACAAAACAAUUCACUAGUCACUAAUCACUUAUUUAAUCAACUCCCUCCUGCCCACCAAAAAUCAUCAUUUUCCGUCACUUUCCUUCCCAACAAGCAAAACACAUGUUAACAAGCUCCAUCUUCAACUUCAACCUCCUCUCUCUCUAAAAACAGCUCAAUUAAGCUUUUUGGAAGUUGGGGGGUCAGAGAGAGAGAGAGAGAGAGAUUUGGAAUUUUGGGUUUUCAGGAGCUGAACACAUGAAGAAGCUAAAGAGCUAUUACACGCAUCUGAGGCACCACCAGUCCAUGGAGCUCAAAUGGAUCUUCCCUUUGGCCAUAGGCUCCAUCGUCUCUCUCUUCCUUCUCUUCCUCACCACGCUCACUUCACCUGACGGCACGCCUCUGCUUCCCUUCUACCGCUCCUUUUCCAUCUCCAGCUCCGUUUUCAUCGAAUCCAAGCUCCACCCACUGCCCGUUUCUUAUCUCCCGCCUCCUCCGCGCUUCGCUUACUUCAUCUCCGGCUCCAAUGGCGAUGGCAAAAUGCUCAAGCGGACCCUUCAAGCCCUUUACCACCCUCACAACCGCUAUGUGGUUCACUUGGACCUCGAGGCACCGCCCGAGGAGCGUCUGGAUCUGCAGAAUUACGUUUCUACCCACCCUGUUUUUGUAAAGUUCGGCAAUGUGAAGAUGAUCACCAAGGCCAAUCUCGUCACUUACAGGGGUCCGACUAUGGUGGCCAACACGCUUCACGCUGCCGCUAUUUUGUUGAAGGAAGGCGGCGAUUGGGAUUGGUUUAUCAAUCUCAGUGCUUCUGAUUACCCACUUGUUACUCAGGAUGGUGAGUCUAUUGGGUUUUGGUUUUGGGAUUUUGGUCUAUCUUUGGUUGAUUUUGUUUCUAAUUUGACUAAUUGGUUGAUUAUCAAAAAAGAAAAAAAAUUGACUAAUUGGUUACUGGGUUUUGAUUAUUGUGGUUAAUUAGAUCUGCUGCACACGUUCUCAUACUUACCGCGCGAUCUCAAUUUCAUCGAUCAUACUAGCAACAUUGGGUGGAAAGAGUAUGCACAACUUCCCCUUUUCUUUGUUGUCUAUAUUUAUACAGUUUCUGUUUUUUCCCCUUUUUUUUUCAAUAAGUAAAGCUGUCUCAUCGAUUUGUAAUGCUGCAUGUUUAUAGGUACCAAAGAGCAAAACCGAUAAUUGUAGAUCCAGGGUUGUAUAUGACAAAAAAAGCUGAUGUUUUUUGGGUUACACAGCGAAGGAGUGUGCCAACAGCUUUCAAACUCUUUACAGGUACAAAUUUUUAGCAUGCCCCUAGACCAUAAAACAUGAUUAAAACCGAAGUUUCUAUUUUGAUUGGAUAAGAAAUGAAAUAGGAGUACUAACUUAGAGCACAUCAGAGCAAAGAUAGAAUCUUAUAUGUCACAUAGAAACCCAAACAUGACAAAAAUAUGUAAAAUUUAUACAUGUAUAGUUAGGAAUGGAAAUCAUUGUCCUUUUCUGUUUGGAUUUUCAGUUUUUUGAACUUGUUUAGUAGUCUAUAGAUUUGAAAAUUGGUAUAGAAGUAAACAGUUAUUUUGUCUUUAAAAAAUGUUUCUUGCUGGGUGUUCAAGUGCUAUGCAGAAGACAAUGAAAGUUUGUCAAUUUAUACCCUGCCUCUGUUUUUUGCGAUGUUAAAUGAAUUGGGAUGUCACAGAAAACAUGAGAUGCAUAAGCAGAGGCAACUUCUGAAGGAAAGAAGGAUGUCCCAGAGCUAUUAAAAAAAGCCAUUGAAACAAUUUUGAUCUACUGGAUGAGGCUAUAUAUCUCAACCCUCUAUGGUUAUUUUAUUGGAAAACUGAUUUCUAGAACAUCUUCUGAGUUAUGAAAAGAUGUCUUUUCAAUUUCAUGUAUCCCGAAGUGGAUAGAACAUCACAUUGAUGAGCCCAGAACAGUUACAUUUUAGGAAAUACUUUCUGUAACAACUCUGUGUUGAUCUGCUGUCUUUUGCAGCUCUAGAAACCUAAUUCUGUAUCUGGGGAAUGGAACGAAACAACUUGUGUGUGUGUGUGUGUUUUUUAUACUCUCUUGUUCUGCUUAGUUGAAAAUUAUAACAGGCGUAUGAGCAUUUGGACCAUAGUUCUCUAUUAGGCAUAAAAGAACAGCUUAGCAUGCUUUUUUCCUCACUAUGUGGGAUCGUGUACCAUGAUCAAUUUAUUGGCAGUGAUGCAUGAAAGAAUUGGCUGCAUAAUCUGAUUCUACGUUGCUUGCUUUAAAAUUUGAGUCUCUUACCUAUAUUAUGCUUGUUGUUUCACUUACUACUUUAAUAUCUUUAUACAACAAUAGGGAUUUUCUUAUAUUCUACAUAUAAAAACAUAUGAAUAUCUUGAGGAGUGGUCCCUGAUUUUAGGGGGAAAAAAAAAUUAUAUCCUCACCGCUCUCUGGGACCAUUAUAUUCUAAAGGUCCUCUAGGGAGCUAAUUUUUUAACUCUGCAGAUUUUUUAAGAAGUUCACCGUCCACUCUAUUAUAGUUCCUUUUAGACCUUUGCCUUUGUUGAACAUUUGAAAAUGUGGUGUUGUAAUGAAAUUUGCCAAUUUUGCUGUCAAUUUUCCACCUGUUGCUUCUUUCCAACUGCUCCCUUGGUUUACAUUCAGAACCAUGCCCUGUUGCCAUAAGUUUUAUUUUAACCAAAUGUCUUCUUUCUCACAUAGGUUCUGCGUGGAUGGCACUUUCUAAGCCUUUUGUUGAUUACUGCAUAUGGGGAUGGGACAACCUACCUCGAACUGUUCUCAUGUAUUAUGCAAACUUUUUAUCAUCUCCCGAAGGAUACUUCCACACCGUCAUUUGUAAUGCUCAAGAGUUCCGCAACACAACUGUGAAUAGUGAUCUGCAUUUCAUAACAUGGGACAACCCUCCAAAGCAACACCCUCACCACCUCAACCUUGGAGACAUGCAAAGGAUGAUUGACAGCAAGGCUCCCUUUGCAAGAAAGUUUCACCAAGAUGAUCCAGUGCUUGACAAAAUCGAUUCUGAGUUGUUGUUUAAGGGUCCAGGUAUGCUUGUUCCUGGUGGUUGGUGCAUAGGAAAAAGGGACAAUGGGUCUGAUCCAUGCUCUGUUGUUGGUAACACUACAGUCCUCAGGCCUAGCCCUGGAGCAAAACGGCUAGAAGUUUUGAUCAGCUCUCUAUUGUCUAACGAGAAUUUCCGAUCAAAACAGUGCAAAUGACAAGAACUCAAAACUGCUUGUGGAACUGCUUCCCCGUGCCAAGUUCAGUUGGUUUACACUUGACAGUAGAAUACAGCAUGAUCAGAGAAAUAAUAUUUCUUAUAGUUGAAAGAGAAGGAAAGAAUGCACAUACCUCUGAAUUUUGGAGAGGCAAGGAUGUGAUGAAUUUGGUGGAGUUGUAUCAAUUACUUGGCUAGAUUCUUCCUUCAUUGAUGACUGCCACUUAGAUGAUUUGUAGGUUAGCACUUUUCCACAUUUACUUUUGCUCUUUGAAAUUUUUGGAUACUGUAUUUGUCAUGCCCUGCCAUUUCGUAUGCUGCAGUGAAAUGUGUUUUGAAACCGAUGAUGGGGGUGUAAGAGCUACUGGAAAGAUGUAUAUUUGAAAUAGGAAAUCCAAAGAAAACUUGUCUGAUUCUGUGCAACUUUUGGAUCCAAGUAUAGCUGUUUCUUUCGUAGGUCUGCGCUGCCACAUUCAUAUUUCAUACUUGUUUAGGUCUUCUCUUGUUAUGUUUUUAGGUUUGUUUCUUUCUUCCUCGAUUGCCAUGAUAUCGAUUCACUUGCAUCUGGAUAUAAUUCAAUUUUGUUCGGCCUAUGCCAUGAGGCCCAUGAUCCUACGGCUAUGGAGGCCCCAAGAGCCAGACAGGCCAUGGCUUUCCCUGGCACGGCACAUAUUCUCAGAGUGGAGAGAGAGUGAAAAAUCUGUCUCUCUUUUGAAGUGCCUUUAUAAUUAAGCAUAAUUCUUCAAGUCCCUUGAUCCCUCCAAGUGAUGUAUAUACUUGUAUGUAUAAAUGAAUUUAUAAGGUAUAUAUUAGGGUUAUCUACUAUAGAGGUUCCUGAACUUGGCCCCUAGUUGCAAUUGGGCUCGUGAACCUUUUUUUUGAGACAAUUACAUCCUUUAGCUUCACAAAUAGUUCCAAUUGGGUCCUGUCAUCCAAGUCUGUCAAUUUGUCCGUCAAAAUGAGGGGUAAAAAUGUCAUUUCGAGUUCCAUAAGUCUUCUUCGCUAGAUAAUCCCGAAUACCCACACAUUUAGAGCUGCUUGGUUGAGGUACACAAAACUAGUCAUCAUCAUAACCCAACCUCCAAAAAAGAAGAAAAUCCCAUACGUGAAGUGACAAAGCAUGGAGAGAAAUGACUGAGCAAUACCAAAAGUGAACACAAAGUUUACUGCCACUAUAACACUUUGCCCAGCUGAUCUUAUCUCCAUUUAGAAAAUCUCACUUGGGUUCAGCCACCCUAGUGGGCCCCAUGACCAAGCAAACCCAGCUACAUACUCUCUCUGUUUGGUGCUUUCAAAUCGAAGCACAAGGGGUCUCUCCUUGUUCUGCAAGGCUCUCUCUUUUCUUCUCCCCCAUUUCCCUUCUCUAAGCUUUCCAAAGCACUCUCUGAUAUCUCAGCCUCCACAGCGAGGCCAUACUCUGCUUCCUUCUGCUUCAAGAUCCAUGCUUUUUUAUGUGUUGGUGAUGUACAAUUUCUUCUCUAUCUAUACUUUUCAAUCCAAUAUAUCGUCGUAUACAUAUUAAUUUCCUGACCAAUAUAGCAUAUCGGCAUAAUCUUCAAACCCAUAUGUUGGAUUUUCUAUGAAGUUCUUGCCUCCUCCCAUGGCUUUUUCUUUGCAAUGUAAUUUUUUUAGUUUUCCUCUCAUCAUGAAAACUCCAAUAUACCCCUCACAAUAAGAGCAAGUGUCAUUCACACGGUCAAAUUUGACAGAUUCUAUUACGGCAUGACCCAAUUAGAACUAUUUGUGAAGUUAAAUGAUGUAAUUGCCUCAAAAAAAAAGUUCACGAAUCCAAUUGCAAUUGAGGGGCAAGUUCAAGUACGUCUACAUCGAAUAACCCUAUAUAUUAACAUCAAAUGAGUUUUACAUGAAAAAGUGAAUAAAAAGUAAAUUGAAAAUAUCUAGAUGUAUGCUAGUUUGAGAUAAAUAAAAUUAGAGUGCUGCUAUUUCCACUCACCUGUCCUAUUUUCUCAUCCACCUUAUCUUCCCACCUACUAUAUAAAUUUUAAAAAACACAAUCAUAUUUUUUCACCCACCAAUAUUCCUAAAAUACCCUUUUAAUUAUUACCUUAUUUCCUCUCUCCUUUAUUCUCUCUACUCAUGUCUUCUCUCUCUCUGACGCCCACACAUUUCUCUCUCAUUUUUGCUGUAUCUUAUUUUCCACAAAAUUUGAAAUUUGAAAGCAAACAAUAGUAAGUAAUACAGUGGUAAAACGAUAAAAGAAGCAACUUCAUAUCACAAAAUUUAAUGACAAUGGCUAGUCAGCAUGCAAAAAAUGACCAGCCCUUGAAACCAAAACCUGGCUCAGGCUCCCCAAUUUCUAAACAUACCCAGCAACCACUUUACCACCUUCCAAACUUUCUAGUCCAUUGACAGAAACUAGUUCAUCCUCAGGUUUUCAUAUUUUUAAUUUGUUUAAGAAAAAAAAUCAGAGUCCAAGAAAUACUGAUCUCCCAAUGCUUUAAGUAAUUGUAAAGAUCUUAGAAAUUCUGUUCAAAUUGGACUUCCUUACCUUUUCGCCAAAAUCGUUCUCUUCAACAUCCAUUCUCCUGUUGUUUUCUCCCUCAUAAACAAUUUGAUUGAAUGAAUAGAAAAGAGAAGAAAAUUAUUUGAGAAUUGAGUUCUGAGCACUGAAAAGUCAUAAGAGGAAUCAUGAGCUAGGAGUCAUAGCUUUCUUGUGUUUUUUUCUCUUUCUGUCAAACGAUAGGGUUACGUGAGAACAUAGUCUGCGUUUUUUUUUUUUCUUAAGUCCUUUUAAGUCAUUUUAUAAUGAGGUUAAAUUUGUCUUUAAAAGUUCUAAAAUAAGAUGUGUGGAAAAAUAAAACAGGUGAGUAAAAAUAACAGCACUCUAAAAUUAUUGGAUUCAUCGAACCACCUCAGCUCUCCAGCUUUCAAACUGAAAGGGAAAUAAAAUAAGACAAAAUAGUAUAGCUUUAUUUCCUGUUCUUCUUAAAAUUUGGUUGUAGGGACACUAGUGCAUGUUAAAAGUUUGGAAAGGGACAUGACAUCCCCCAUUAGGUUUGGCUGCAACGAGCAAAAUUUUAAUCACAAGUUCAAUGUAUAAAUCAAUUCUGAUUAAAAAUUAUUGCGUGCUAUGCUAAGUACAACUUACCUAGCUAUACACGUGGAUGGAUAUAUGGUCGAUUUGCAACACGUGAAUGACUUACGGUCGUUGAUAUAAAUUGUAGAAUCUACACUUGUAUUAACAAUUGGGAGCACCGACGCUCAAAUACAUAGGUGACUUGGAUUGGAGCCAUUAUUGUGGUGGGAUCUGCACUUAGAAAAACAAUGAUUUGGAAUCACUCAAUGCACCCCUUUAACUGUGCCUGCCUAUCAAAACAAAUAAAGCAUACAAAACGCAAGCUAGCCGAUACCUACCUAAUAAUUUAUAAGCCAUUCGAAUUUCAUCAUGGAUGGAUUUGAAAACAGCAGAGAGACAACAGUUAUUGACCAAAUCUUUCUGAAACAGAGCCUUAUUACACGCAAAGCAGAAAAUGCACUUAUGUGGAAGGAGGCAUCGUACAAGUUUUGUCGAGCCAAACAAUCAUAUUUAUUCAUCCCAAAAUAUUAUAGGUAUAUACAAAUUAAUUAAUGAUUUAGUGGUUUUCUUCUACCAGUCGUAAAUUUUUUAUUGAGAGAAAGGAUAAUAACUCACACAUACUACGUGAAUGUUAUGACUCAAACUCAAAACCUUGCAUGAAAAAAUAAUUAUUUCAAAUCACAACAUUAAUAGAUCCUUUACCACUAAGCGUAAUAUUCAUUGGCCUAACUUGAAAUAAAAUGUGACCCUUUAAAAUGUUUCAUAUAAAUUUUCAUUGAUAUAACACCAUUGCCUCUCUCUCCCUCUACCCCUAAUGACCCUUUUAAUUUAUUUUCUAUAUUGGCUAGCUUUGAUUUUUGUGGUUUUAGGUAUUUUUGGUAGGCUAGCCCCUCCUCUCCAUAUGUGUCUGCUACUGCUAGGCUAACUUCUUAUUUUUGUUUGCAAAUUAAUUCUCCCUGUGUGCCUUACAUUAUUUAUGACAAAAAUCUCACAAGCUUUCAUAUGUAAUGAUUGGUAGGGCAAUUCAAACACAUUUCCUUGAAUUGAAGCAAUAGGGGCCCACCUUCACACAAUUUUCUAAUUCCAUCAUAUUGCUUCUGUAGGGCACCUAAUUAUAAACAACCACCGUAUUUAUUUCUCCAAUGGCCCUCCAUCUCCAUGUUCGAUCAAUCGAGACAAGCUUUUUGGAUUAUGAAUGACAUAAAAAAAAAAAGCAAAUGGCAAUGGGGAUGGUGCUGGGGAAAGCAGCCACCUAGAGAGAGAAACUCUAGAACCUAGAAAUAGAAACCCCAAAAAGCCUGUCAUGAAUCAUUGUACCCUAGAUGCCAGAUGGAUGGAUCGAUCAUUAUUUGAUUGAAUCAUGCAAGACAAAGUGCCUUCACGAUAUUUGACAUUGGAUUGGAUUGAAGUAGAUCGGAUGGGGGCUACAGUGAAUUUGGAAACAUAGACAAAAUAAGGGAUAUAUUUGAAUAGGGAACUCAAAAUUUUAAUUUUUUUUUAGUUUUAAUAAGGAGUUUUUAAAUCUAUUUUUAAGAUUUAAAAAUUUAUUUGGUAUGCAACUUAAAAUUAUUUUUAAAUUUUUAAAAAUUUGAGAACUUGUGGGUUGUUUAAAAAAAAAAAAACAGAUGUUUUUUGUUUUUAAUAAUGAGAGUGUUUUUUUAGUUGUUCUUGAGUUUGAGUUUUAAACAAUAAGGUUACCAAAUAGCUUUUCUUUGUUUUGGACUUAAAUUCUCUUUUUGAGUUUAAAAAAUUAGAUUCAAGUUGAAUACCAAACAUGCCCUAAAUGCCUCAACAAAAUAAAUUUUAAAAAUUAAUUAUAUGCGUUCAAAUCUUAAUUAAACAAAGAGAAAAUGGGGUUGGCUUUAAUCCCCAAACGAUAGCUGGAUAGCUGGCUUAAAUAUAAAAGAGAUAAUAGAAUAAGAUCAGGUGCAGGUGCAGGUGCAGGCUUUAAUAAUUUUUAGUUAUUAAUUAAUUUCAUACAGCCACAAUACAAACGACUAAAUUUUGUGGUGAACAUAUAUCUUGUGAGCAGGAAGAUCCUCAAUCAGCUCACCCUUCCUUCAGCCUUCAAGUCAUCAACUUCACAACAAGUAAGAUGAAACCCUCGUCUUCUGGCCAUGCGUUUUUCGGCACGAAUGUAGAACAGAAGUGGACGACGGAGGUGGCCUGAUCAAGCUAAAAGGAGAAGAUAAACAAAGGUGCAUUUGGCCUCGGCUUGGAUCUUGAGGUACCUAAUUUCUUUUAUCCUUUCCCUUUGCAUAUACCAUGAUCCAAGAAGAGGUUUAGUUGAGAAAUAAAAUCCAAAAUUCGAAACCAAAAAAAGGAACAAAAAAGAUAUAUAGUAUACUUCACCUUGAUCUUUCUCAAGCUUGGAAUUAGAAAUGAAUAAAGCUGGGGGUUGUUUUCUUUUCCCAGUUGGCGAUGAUCAAAGUGAGGGGCUUCAGUCGAGGAGAGAUGAAACCCGGUGCCCAAAUUGGCUUAGCUUUAAUUCUACCAUAAUUAGUACCAAACCAAUAUGAUUGCAUUUGGCGCCAUCUCUCCUACGACAGAAGCCCCUACGAAUUUGAUGAUAUAUAUGAUCUCUCUCUUCAUUUUAGAAUUGUAUGUUUUGAAUUCUUACAUUUACGAGAAAUAGGGAUUUUGAGAGUGUUAUAUAGACAUACAGUACAUGUAUAUCUUUAGUUAAUAUAUAGUACCAUAUAUAUCUUUAAUUAAAGCCGUAUAGUACUAUAUAUAUCUUUAAUUAAUAUAUAGUACCAGUACUUAAUUCUUAAACUAUAAAUAUAUAUACAUGCGACCCCUAAUCAUAAGGGGCAAACAUAAACUCCAAAUUUCUCGCUCUUUACAAAAUUAUUAUAAGGUAGGUAAUAUUGGAGUUAGGGAACUACUAGUAGCAUUCCAUUACCAAGUCUCAUGGUCAUGGAUAAGGGGACACACACACACAUAUAUAUAUAUAUAUAUGAAUUUGAUGAUCUGUUCACGAAAUUUGUCAACGCAAAACAGCUGUGAGUGAGAUGAACCCAUCUGCAAACAUACUGUUAUUAUUUUUAUUGAUCAGUAAUAUAUUUAUGGUGUCUCACAUCUCUCGUUACGUAACUCUAAUGAUUGAUGGAACUUAAUUAGUCCUGAUUUUAGUGGUUAGAUCGAUGAUAAGGCGAUCAUCUCAGUAGACCUCCUGUAAUUAACAAUAAUGUAGCAUUAUCUGCUAAAACAAUCAUAUUUGGACAGGGUCAAGCUUCAUUUGAUGAUGUUAUAUAUAUUUUGCAGAACAUGAAAUCAUGUUGAAAAUGACACCAAUUAAUUUACUAGGUUUAUAUUGAUUGUUGGUAUAGAGCUAGAUAUAAUUCAGGGUGUAGAAAUGGAGUUUGUUGUGUGUACCUUUUCCAAGGCUUUAAUCAAUCAAGAAGCUGCAUGCAGAAGUUGCAGGGUAUCUGGUCGCAUAGCGACGGCACUAGCAAGCAGAGCAUUAGGUUAACAAAGCACACCACCAACACCAAGCACCAAGCACCAAGCACCAAGCAAAGCAAGGAGGCUGCAGCCUGCAGUGCCGUCCCUCCUGCGACAAGACUCCCUACACUUCCUUUCUUCAUUUCCCUUUCAAUAUACUUUUGGACCUUACCUUUCCACACCUCCUCGUACUUACAUUUAUAAGCUCAAAAUUAAUAAUAAAAUAAUAAUAAUUAACGUUGUAUAUUGAUUCUUAAUUAGUGGGUUGUUUGAUUAUUCCUUGUAAUAAUUAGAGUCUCGCAGGUGCCAGCACAUGAAGUCAGAGAGAUCCACAGGAGAGUCCACGACGGCCACUGACUACCUGUUCAUUUGGAGGAGUCUCUGAGUCUCUCCCUUCACACGUGAAACUUCAUAUUCAACAUCACAUGCCCAAUAAAGGUACAAAUAUGAUCUUAUUUUAACCUUUGGUCCACACCUUGACUGACGGCAUAAAAUCCUAAAGAAAAUUACCAGGACAGAUUUUUUUUGAAACGUUACAAAGGUUACCUUUAAAAUCAUGACAAUGAGAACGAGGUACCAAACCUGCCAUGAUUUUAGAGAUAAUUUUUUUUGUAACGUUUUAGUAUAAAACUUCUAGUUCUAUAUCCUCAUAAAAGUUUCAAGUUGGUCGAGUCCAUCGAAUAUGCACUACUAGAAAAUGAUGAGGCAAAAGCGGUACCCACUUGAGGAAAAGAGUACUAAUAGCCACAUACCACAGAUAUUGAUUUGGGCUGGAUGUAACCUGUGAUCAAGACAAGACAAUAUAUAAAUCGGUUUUUCAUAAACUAUAUAUUAUUAUAUAUUUUGGACCAGUUGCGGUAGGUAUACAUGCUCAUCAAUGUAAACAAAAUUAUAUGAUGCCUUAAUUAAUUCUCUUGACCCUACGUUUGUUAGUUGUUCUAUCACUAGAACACAACCAUAUAAUUAUAUAUACACACUUGGGUUAUUAGAUUAUAAGUCUGCACAGGAAGACUCAUAUCUAUAUUGUAUAAUUAUAUAACACGUGCUCAGACUGGUCUGCUGGUUGUCAAAAUCCAAGCCUGAUGGAUUUUAAAAAUCAGCAGCCAGCUGAUGAUCAGAGAAGAACCCUUCGAUGAAGGGGUCAGAAAAGCAUCCGUUGAUGAAGGGAUCAGAGAAGCACCCUUUGAUGAAGGGAUCAGAGAAGCACCCUUUGAUGAAGGGGCAACUUCAUUAAAUUAAUUGCACUGGCUGUGGCCGAGUUUAGCAAGAAAAAGUCUAACAAAGAGAAUAAGAAAGUUAGGAAAAUAUUAUUAAGAAGAUGAUGAAUGGAUGAAUUAGACCCAGAUGCAAUUAUUAAAGAUAGAGAACACAAUUAAUAGAUAUAUACCAUUUUCUCGCUUUGGCCUCCUGUUUAGAUAUAUCACUUGCAGAGAAGGAUCAAAGUUUUACAAGUUAUAGGGUUUUCUGGUCACAGGAGGGAUGACACCAUCUGCUGGUAGCUAGUUGCACCACAGACAGUGCCAUCUCUCCUGCGAACAUAAAUCCCUCAACUUUUCUUCUCUCUCUCUCUCUCUCUCUCUCUCUCUCUCUCAAUUUGGAGAGUGUUAGAUCUACACCAUGAGAAAUUAAAUUAGGUAGAGUUGCAGAAAGAAAUAGAGGGGUUCAUGUCACAGGAAGAUGGAAGAUGCUUGCUGCUGCCAAUUAGAGAGCACAGCUCCCGUGCCAUCUCUCCUGCGACAUGAACCCCUCAACCUCUUUUAUCUCUUCUUUGUUGCUCUCUUCAUGGUUUCAGGGCCUCUCUAUUUAUAGUCAGGCCAGGGUUCUCUAUGAGCUCAGAGAAUGUAAGGUUUUUCCACAAAUAUAUAUCAGGAAAUUACCUAAACAAUGCCAUGAAGUUGCUUCUAGUUUGCGAGGGCUUUGCCUCCCAAAGAUUAACGCAGAAAACGAGACAAAUUAGACUAUUCUGAUUAAUUAAUCUUUCUUCAAAUCAAGGGUUCAAAAUGUUGAACAUUGCCUAACCAACCACGCAUCAGAAACUCUCUAGUAACUUACAAGUUCAUUUCGUCCAAUCGAAAAAUUAUGAAAAUUACAAGGACAAUUUCCUGGAGACCUUCACCCCGUAAUUAAAUUCCACGACUUUGUUUCAAGCAUAUAGCCUCCAGUCAAAAGAAAUGGAAAGAUCUGUUAAGAGUCUUGUCUUUGUUGCGGGGGCAGCUAGCUAGUCUGAGUCAUGCAUUCUAGUCUGGCUUGGACUAGUUCUUGUGUUUCUUGGUUGCUUUACACUGGGUUUUUGAUUUUUAAGAGAACCUCAACGAUAGGAGAAAAACAUUACUGAAAACUUGUACCAUCAUAGCUGGGCCAAUUAGCUAUAGCUGUCAUGAUAGAAUUACUUUAUCAAGGAGGGUGAGUUCGGAGUAAUUGGUGUCUCUUUCUAAUUUCAACGUAGCUUGUCAGAUUUUUCCCUUAUGGAAAUCAUGAACUCUGUAAAUUCCUUGUGAGUUUCCAGCUUAUUAAUAUGCGAUGUGAGCUGGAUGCUCUCAAUUAAUUAACCUUGAGCAUGCGUUUGAAUUAACUAGUAGAUUAAUUAACUCAAGGCAAAUGUAAAGGUAAUUUCUUAUAUUGUAGAAAAACCUAACAUAUGAAGGUAUUCUAUAGACUCCAAAUUGAGAUAUAUAAAUUAUGGGCAUACCGCCGGUCGGUCGGUCCGUCUUUGGUAUGGGCUGCACGGUUCGGACCGAAUCGUUUCCAGCCCUAAUUUUAUUAUUAAUUAGGAUGAUACAUAUACCGAAGAAGGUUAAGAAGAAGAUUAUAAUAAAAUUGGAUCAAACACCAAAUUGAACCAUUUCUCAGAAGAAACAUUUUUUGUUAUUUUGUUUCAGUAAUAUGCAAGUCAGCCAACAAGGAAUUUGGGCCCAUUUUAGUUUAUAAAGGCCCAAUAAAAAGACAACAGGCCACCUAAUACAUUCUGGACAUAAGGCCCAAUAAAGCAUUCUGGGCCGUGCAUUAAAAACCCUAAAUUUUGUCUCCAUGACCAAGUACAAAGUGAAAGAUCAUCACUUGGGACUGUGGAAAUCAACGCGGCUCAGUUUCAUGGAGUCAUUUUAUAGUGAGGGCCUUAUAGCACUUCCACUCAUUUGUCAUGACAAAAUAUUUAGUUUUUUAUUUUUUAUUUUUUUUGGUUGCUGACAUCAUCUCUGACGUCAGCAAACACAGGACAGAGCAAGAGCUGGUUUUACCUGAGGGCCAGCCCAGGCUUAUGGAGCCCACCAACAGCCCUGGUAGCAUUUGCCCGCUGGAAGCCCUUUUUGGGCCUAGGGCCCCCCUUGCCCAAGGCCGCUGGAAUCGUUCUUAAGUGAGGUCAUAUCUUUUAAUCGUUAGAUCAUACUAACCAAUUUGAUUUAACAGCUAAGAAAUAGCACCUCAUAUAACGGCCUCACUAUAGAAAUCUUGCAGUUUCAUGUAAGUUUUUAAAUUCCAUCGAUUCAUAGUAUAACAAAUUGGCUUCAAGUUUAUGCUUUCGGUUGGGGGAUUUUUAGCCCCAAAUUUUUACUCUGUUCCACUUUUUCCAUGCCUAUUCCCACUUGUUUUCCGGAGCUUUGUGUCUAGGCUUGUCCUGCUUCUUUGGAUUUGCGUUCUGAAAUCAAGUGUUUGUCUGCCCAAAUGAUGCAAGUUUUGCACUUUUUCUCUAAUAACAGAGCGUCAGGUGUUUGUUGAAAUGCCAAGUGCAGUUAGUUUUGUCUGAAUAGGGGCCUUGCAUUAUUGUUACUUCUGAUAAAUAUGCAGCCAUAAACUUGGUGGGGAAUCUAUAUGGGACAUGGAUACAAAAAUGAAAAUGCAAGACCCAAUUUCUACCUUAGGAAAUAGGUGAAAUUGGUUUUCCACCUUAGGAAAUAGGUGAAAUUGGUUGUUUUAUGAAAACUCAUGUGGAGUUAGAAUGAUAAAUACACUACUCUUUGCACGAGACAAAACCCUUUAUUUUUCCCAAAUCCAAAAUCCAAUUUUCUUCCUCUCAUUUUCUAUCAGAUGAUGCUUCUGUGUCUUGAUCUUUUUCUUCUGCUGCUGAUUUCUUCUCUUUCCCUUCUUCCUCAGCUUUCAGCUUCCCAUUCUCUAUUUCCUGUUCAAGAGCUUGGAUCAGAUUGUGUAGGCAGUUUUCAGCAACCCCAGCAAGGGACUUGGGCAUCAAAUGCUCUGCAACAUCAGCUGGAGUCAUAUUGGUUUGCUCCAGCAACCCACGAACUUUGGGAAACAAAUGGUGUGCUUCAAGCUUGAGGUAGUUCCUAGCCAGCACCUUGAAUGAUUCAAAGUUGCAGUAUGACAAUUCUAUGUGCUUGUCCAUCCUUCCUUUCCUGAUGAGAGCAGCAUCAAGUUUCUCCACAUAAUUGGUUGUGAAGACUAUCAGUCUCUCUCCACGGCAAGCUGACCAGAGCCCAUCAAUGAAAUUCAGAAGCCCAGAAAGAGUCACUUGGCUGGGUUUUGUUUCCCUUUCCUCUUUUGCCAGCUUUUCCCUUGGAUCUUUCUCUUCAUCCUCUUCCACUUUCUCUUUUCUCUUCCUCCUUUGGCCUGUCAGAUCAAGUGAACAAUCAAUGUCUUCAAUUACAAUAAUGGACUUGCUUGAUGUUUCAAUCAACAGCCUCCUCAGCUCAGUGUUGUCUUUGACUGCAGUCAAUUCAAGAUCAUAAAGAUCAUAGCCCAAAAGAUUGGCCAUGGCAGCAAUCAUGGUGGACUUCCCAGUACCUGGUGGGCCAUAAAGAAGGUACCCUCUCUUCCAUGCCCUCCCAAUACUUGCAUAAAACUCUUCUGCUUUGCUGAAUGCCAUUAAAUCAUCAAUGAUGUCCUGCUUCUUCUCUGGCUCCAUGGCAAGUGUCUUAAAUGUUGCUGGGUGCUCAAACACCACAUGGCUCCAAUGUGAGCCAUUGUUGGUAUAAAGCUUUCUCUGCCUAUUUCUGACCCUAAUGGCUUUGCCCUCUUUCAAGACAUGGGUUAGGUAAGGCCCAAUUAUGAGCUCCCUCUGCCCUUUAUGGAAAUUGAGCUUGUAGUACCUUUUCUCAUCAUUGAGGGGAGUGUAUGAAAAAGUCUGCUGCUUGGAAAUGUUUUUGCCUGAAGCCCACCAGACUUUGACUCCCUUGAACUCAUCAGAGACCUCCUCAUGGUCAUCCAUACUCAGAACAAGGGACUGGUUGUUCUUGAUAUCAGCCUUGAGCCGCUUCGCUUGGGUGGAAGAUUUGGAGCUCAGAUAGUUCUCGAUGGCAGAAUAAGCCUCGCUGCGCAUGAGACGCUCCCCUGUAAACUCAUUGAAUGUGAUUUGGAUGUAAGGAUACACAUAACCCACCAAUCUCUGCGAGUAUUUUUCGAUGUGCCGCCGAAGUUCAUAAGGAAAGUAUUGUUGAAAGAUUGCCCACACAAACAUCAAGCCUCCAAUCGUGGAUCCAAGAUGAGCAAACAUGUCUGCUGGAACCAUGUUUGCAACUUUGCCUCUUCUUUCUUGGCCUCUGUAUCUUCUUGUUUUUCUGAGAUGAUGUAUGUAUCUAUGUAUGCUACAAUUUGUAUACUUUGGUGAAGAUUAUUUUAAUAUAUUUUUGUUGGAAAAGGCCUUGGCGUGAGUCGGUAUUAAUUAUUCUGUGUGAAUACCAUCAAACAUUUCUGGUCCAAAAUUGACUGGUAGAUUUUGUCUCAAUGCCAGAAGUCGGCAAAGGCUGUGUGCAGACGUGGACUCGUUUUCUUGCUCGAUGGGUUAACCCAAAUGGAAAUUAUCUGUUCCGUGACAUCAUUAACAUCAUAUUAACAAUGAUGUCACAACCCUUCAAUUCAGCAUUAUACACAUUCUUUUCUACGCAGUUUCCCUUCAGUUUGAAUUAUAGUCGAGGGAAAUUUGGAAAAGAAAAUGCAUCUUCGAUCAAAAGUGAAUCAUGAACCAAAAUGUUUGGCGAAUAAGAAGGAAAGGAAAAUACGUCCCUCCUUACCAGGCAAGUAGGAAUUGUUACAUUUUUGCGAAUAGCAGUGUGACAUGUGUGCAUAAAUUUUUCUUUUUGUAUUUGUGAUGAAUUAUUUUUGCAUACGUGUCAAACUGUGAUUCGUAUAAAGGAAGAGUAUCUCCUUAUAUGUAAGGAGACAAGUAGUAUCCAGAAGGAAAUAUUAAUAAGUAGACGCAGUUAAAAGGAGGAAAAAAACAGUUGUUAAAACUUAAAGCUUAGCUUAGCAUGAAAUUAAAAAUGCAUAUGUGGCUAGACACAUUAAGAAAAACACAGAUUGAUCAGGGCGCGGCCUCUGUCUUCUUAUUACAAUAUGUAAGAAUAUGUAAGAAAGGUUAAAAUUAUGCAGAUACUAUUCACUCUCUUCCUUCGAUGGCAGAGUCUGUUUUCUUUCACUCGUUUCAGCUGAUGUUCGAUUCAUUUUACAUCUCCUUCUUUGGCUGAUGUUCCGUUACAUUUCACUUUAUCUUUAGCAGACUGCUCUUUCUCCUUCUCUUUCUCCUCCUCUUCUUUCUCUGCCUUAAGUUUUGCUUCUUCCUCUGCCUUCUUACUUGCUUCUUCUUCCUCAGCCUUCUUUCUUGCCUCCUCCUUUGCAGUCUCAAUAGCUUCAAUCAAGUUCUUCAAGCAAGAGUCUGCCUCCUCCGUGACAGAGUUGGGCAUCAAAUUCUCUGCAACAUCAGCAGGAGUCAUAUUGGUUUCCCCCAACAAACGCUCAAUGGUUUCGAACAACUCAUGCGACUCUAAAUCCAAAUAGUUCCUGGCAAGCACUUUGAAUGCUUCAUAGCAGCAGUAGGACAAUUCUAUGUGCUUGUCCAUUCUUCCUCUUCUUAUGAGAGCAGGAUCAAGUUUGUCCACAUAAUUAGUAGUGAACACAAUCAGUCUUUCCCCUCCACAAGCUGACCAAAUCCCAUCAAUAAAGUUCAACAGCCCAGAAAGAGUAACCUUGCUUGGUUGGCUCUCUUCUUUUUCCAUCUUUUUCUUAACUGGAUCCUUUUCUUCAUUAUCCUCCUCAUCCUUCUCCUUUUUCUUCUUCCGCUGACCGGUAAGAUCAAGCGAGCAAUCAAUGUCCUCAAUCACGAUAAUAGACUUACUAGGCGUGUCAAUAAGUAGCUUCCUCAGCUCCGUGUUAUCCUUCACCGUCGUUAAUUCGAGAUCAUAGACGUCGUAGUUCAUGAGGUUCGACAUGGCAGCAAUCAUGGUAGACUUUCCAGUGCCUGGUGGCCCAUAAAGGAGAUAGCCGCGCUUCCAAGCCUUGCCGAUUUUCGCAUAAUACUCUUUCCCCUUGCUGAACUUGAUGAGGUCAUUGACAAUCUCUUCCUUCUUUUUGGGGUGCAAGGCCAAGGUCUCAAAUGUUGCCGGGUGCUCAAAGACUACAUGGCUCCACAUUGUCCCUCUGUAUGUGUACCAAUUCUGGGAAGGAUUGUUCACGUUAAGCUUUCGUUGUCUGUUGCCAACUGUUAUUGCUUUCCCCUCUUUGAUCACGUGAGCAAGAUAAGCCCCUGUGACGACAUUUCGAUGGCGUCUGUGGAAGGUGAGCUUAUAAUGCUGCUUCUCAUCAGACUGAGGGUAGAAAGAAAAUGAAGUCUGUCGAGUCUCUCUUUUCACCAACACCCACGAGACUUUAAUGCCUUGAAAUUCAUCAGUCACUUCUUCAUGGUCGUCUAUGGCAAGGACCACAGACUUGCUGUCUUUGACAUCAUGAGCUUUUAGACGUCUCGCAUUUGUCGAAGACUUGGUGCUGAGGUAGCUUUGGAUGGCAGAAUAGACUUCGCUGCGUCGGCGAAACUCGUUGGUGUUCUCAUCAAAGAUGAUUUGGAUGUAAGGGUAGAAAAGUUUCACUAAUUUGUGGCGAUAUUUAUCGACAUAGUAGCGAAAUUGAGGGGGAAGGUAUUGUCGAAAAAUAGUGUACACAAACAUGACACUGGCAAUGACUGAGCCCAGUUGAGCCCCCAUUUCCCCUAUCCUCAUUAUCAUCUUCCUCUGCAGUCUCUCUCUUCUUUUGGAAAUUAACUGUUGAAGGUUAGGGUUGUUCUUACGAAGACGAAAGACAAGGUUUGGUUUAUAUAGAAGAGACUCAGCUUGGAAAUUUAGUUAUGUUAUGACCCACCCAAUUUCCCAGUGUUUUAAAAAAAACUAUAUUUCAUUGACUAAAAGAAACCAAGAGGAAGCUUGCUUAAUUGAUCGUUCGAAGCCCACCAAAUUUGACAAACAUCAGGUCACUGUCUUGACUAACGAUGGAAAAGCAUAACCCUUCCCCCUUUCCGGGUUAAUAAUAUGCAGAGCGCAGCCCUUCCCACUUGGCUGGUGAAUGUGCAGAGCAAUUACGCCAAAUAUAGACAAAGGAAAAAGAAUCUCGUAUUACAUGUCUAGCUACCAAAUCUGUGUAAGUUUCUAACGUAUUGGCAACUUCUGAUUGGAAAAAAUGGUUUCCAAGAUUUUGGGUUUGGCAUGUCAUUCAACUUGUAAUGCCAGCUGAAAUCAUAGAAGGCCAACAUGGAAAGAUGACGAUUCGUCGCAUGGUUUCUUUUUUGUUUGAUUCUGUUGACUAGCUGGUCCUGGUCCAGGGUGCUCCCAAAGAGAGGAGAUUAGGUCAUGCCAAAUAAAAUUGGGUUAUUUACUGAAGUGGUCUUCAAAUUUAUACCCGAGUUGCAUUUUGGUCCAUCAACUAAAUUAUUUGUUCAAAUGGUCCACCAACUCUUUAUUAAUCCGCGCAUUGGUCUUACCAUUACAUUCUUCAAUGUUGCCAUCAAAUAUACGGGUAAAACAAUCCAAUUCAAUAAAAUAGUAAAUAAAUUAAAAACUGAAAAAUAAAACAAUAAAAAAAAAAAACCUCUAUCCCUCUCCCACCUUCUUCUUCUUCAACAUUUUUUUCUGCUUGAACUGGUGCAUUUGGACAUCAUGGAUAGAUUGGGUUCGCCUAGAUGGGGUGCUGGGUAACAGAAACUGUAAGGGUAGGACCAACGCACCGAUUAAUAAAGAGUUUGUGGACCAUUUAAACGGAUUGAGAGACCAAAAUACAACUCGGGUAUAAAUUUAAGGACCACUUCAGUAAAUAACCCAAUUAAAAAUGUUAUGUGUGCUACUAAACUCCCCGAAAAAACUUCAAUAAGUAAGGAUGAUAAUUGAUAAAGCACAUACAAAAAUUGUCCACGAAACGAUCUACUAGUUAAAGUUGUUAAUGACAUAAAGUAAUGAACAUAUAAUUGACAUCUUGAGUAUGACACAAAGACUAACGUCACAUAUCUUCAAGAGGUUGUUUGUACCAUAACUGACCGAGCAACUAGCUAGGCUAGAUCAUUCGAGUGCCAUGCUUUGAGAGGUCAUCACCUUAGCCAAAGAAGCAUCACCACAAAUCACAACUCUAAGCAAAGCAAGAGGAGUCCCACAUCGAAAAACUACAAGAGAUGGAGACUCCCCCUCACCUAUAAAAGAAGACUACUCUCCUAUGAGAAAGGGACUCUCUCUUCUGGAUCCAUCUCUAUCCUAGGCUUCUCACUUGUUAUCUUUAUAUUUGGGUCUAAUCCUCUUGUACAAAUGUAAACAAACAUUAUCAUAAUGAGAACACUAUUCUCCGUGGACGUAGCCCAUCGUUCGGGUGAACCACGUAUAUCUUGUCUUCUAUAUGUUUAUCACUUACCCAAAUCCUCACACACUUGGUGAAGGUCCUCACCUUCAUCCAUCAUCUAUCACACCUCAUCACUAAGUUGGACUCAACCUUGGCCUAACUAUUUUGAGCAUCAACAGUUUGGCGCCGUCCGUGGGAAUCGACACAAGAAGCUUCUGUCGUUCUUCCCUUCCUCUAGUGCCCUUCGGCACCCUUUCAAUCAUCACCUUGUAACUUACCAUUUAGCACCAUCUGUGCCGAAGACACCCUGGGGUUUGAAGGCACCAAUAUGUCGAAGUCAUCUAUUUGCUGAAGCAACUCACCUUUCGGUCACUUUGAGUAGUUUCAAUUUGAAGGUCGCCAAAUAUUCCAAUUCACCAAAAAGCAUCACUUUGCAUGGCCAAGGGGACAACCCACCAAUUCAAUCCAAAGGGAAAGCCACGUGAUUCACCUCCAAGAGAAGUGCAAUAUUUCUUAUCUUCCUAUUAUUAUUUAAUUCUUAGGAGAUGCAUAUUUUAUUAAUAUAUUGGCAUACCCACGUGACUUCUACAUAUAUGGUUCGGCACCAUGCUUUCCAAAGGAUAAAAUUCCUCUUCAUAUCUCAUAUUAUUUUAGCAUAUUUUACAAUCGGUGAAUAACCAAAUACCCAUCUUGUGAGUGCAGACCCAACUCAUAAGAACGCCCACUCUGGGUAAUUGGCAAGCUAAACAUGAUAAGGUGCCCAUACACUCAAGACCAGCCUCUGUACGCCACACUGUAGCAUCUUCUCUCCAAUACGAAGUCAAACUCAAAAUUGGUGUGGGGCACUUGGACAAUCCUACCGUGGCAGACUUACUGGAUCAACAAGCAAACAGGUUUCCAUACCUCCUGAACGACAAGCUCAAGACAAGGGGACUUGAAUGUUAAAAAACUCUCUCUGCCGCAACCUCUCAAAGCACCCAAAACUUAUUGAUGGCUUACCAAUCGGCAGGACAAUUGCAGAACGUGAAUGAGCUCAUCGCAUGGAUGCUUCCGAAUCGGGGCUCGAGCUCUGAAGUUUUGUGCCAAAUCACCAAAGGUCUUGACGGAAAUCAAUGAGCCCAGCUCCACCGACCCUUCCCAAGCUAAUUACUCAUGCGCAAGGCCCGAUAACUUUCAAAACAAGAUCAAGCCGUGACCCACACAGCCCGGCUUCCAAAUCUGCAAACACCCCCGGGAUCAGCCCACUUGCCGAAGACAAAAAAAGUAGCGCAUAAAGGAAUUUCAAAAGGCCUUGCCGAACGGCAAGGCCCAUGCGGAAGAUGAUGAAGGCUUCGAAAACUACACACCUCAGCCCCAGCCAAGGUCACCGGAGUCCAGCUCCAGUUCACAUCGACUUUCUCCUUCCAAGACCAUGAUUCAAAGCCUUGCCGAAUCUGCAGAUCACCAGCAGCCAAAUCUUGCCAAAACCACCACAGCUCACCUUCUAAAACAUCUUGGACUCAGCUCCAACUCCUGCCCAAGCCCACGUAACGCCAAAAAAGAGCACCCAGCCACUAAACUUAUCAAGACACCCAAUGAGAAGGAAAGUGUCAACUACUUCAGAGAGUUAUAAACUUGACUGUCAAAAUCCAUGCUCAAACAAAGGAACAGCACCUCAGCUACAAAAAACAUAAAAGCUUCAGCAGCUUCAAAUUCAACGGCACUCAAGGGCUGCACCAAGUUCCUCGACAAGUGUGGCCUCCUUAAACAGCCCUUCAGCAAGCAAGGGUGCUGAAAGUGGUCAACCCCGUUCCGACACCACAGUACUGAACCCAACACCCUUGCCGAACGGCAAGGGCCGUGCUGAAUUUAUGAAGGCCUCUCGACUUCCUCAGCUCCAAAAAUCCCGCAGAAGGUCUAAAUGCCGAACUGCAAAAGCUGUUCAACCCGAAAGUCUCGCGGAAGGCAAAUGCACGAAAAGAAAAAGUCACAAAACUCCAAAUCCUGCCGAACGACAAAAUCCAGCUCCCAGCCUCACUCCUUGCCAAAGCCAAGGUUUAUGAAGAGGCCUCAAAAACUUUCCAAAUAACUCUUGCCGAACGGCAAGGGCUGUGGAGCACAAAAUCUGCUUCAAACCUUCUCUGCCGAAGACAGAAGCCCUUCUCGAGAAUGAUCUUUUUUCAGCACUGCCUUGCCAAAGGUCCAAACUCAAAUAUAAUCUGUCUUCAAAAAUCCCAGCUCCAAGAAGCCCUCUUUCACGAAAAACCCACCCUUGCCAAAUGGCAAGGGCUGAGCAAAGGCAAUUGGCAGAUCUUGAAAAGUCUUACCGAAUAUACCUUGAACCCAGGUCGUGCUACCGAAGCCUAUCUUUCCAACAACGAAACUCCUUCCCAGCCAACCUUGCCGAACGGCAGGGUUCGUGCUGAAGUGUUCUAAGGUAUCGCCAAAAGUCCAGCCUAUUUGAUGAGGGCCAAGACCAAGGAAGCUCGCAAGAUAGCCUUACCGACCUCACAAGCUCACAACAUCAUGGUGCCGAAGUUGGGGAACCUCACGAAAUCACCCUUGCCGAAGCUUCCUUGCCGAAACUUUGACGAAAAGAUACUUAUGUCAACACUUGCCAAAGCCCCUAGCUGAAGAGUGCCCAGACCAACUUGCUGAAGAUACCACAGGCUCCACAAAAACUUUCAAUCAACCCUUGCCGUUCGGCAAGGGUUGUGCAGACAAUAGAAGGCCCAGCUCCAACUAAGGCUCGGCUCUAAAACAAACUCCUAAGGCCAAGCUCCGUACACAAGCUUGGAGGCCCACGAAGUUGCGCCAGGCCUCCUUUUUACCAAAGGCCCAAACCCAACCUCCUUCCAAGAAAGAUCUUGCUGAACACACAAAAAAAAAAAAAAAAAAAAAAAAAAAAAAAAGCCUUGCCGAACGGCAGGCAUUGUGCAAAAGGAAUAAAGGGACUCGUAAAGUCAUCCCCAAGACACCCUUGUCGAAGCUUUAAGGCCCUAGCCCAAGGUACUUAGGCCCUAGAGAAAAUCAUUCCCACUGGACCAUGCCGAACGGUAAGGCCCAUGCUCAGGCCAUGGCUUACAUCACGGCAAAUUUCUCUUGCCUAACCCCUUGCAGCCCAACUCCACAGAGCACAAACCCCAGGCCUUUGCCAAAGCCCAGCUCAUGAGGCCCACCUACCAAGAACUUGGAAACUUGCAGGAUCAAACCCUUCAAGUUCUUGUCGAAGCCUUGAAGGCCCAACUCCAAGGACCAGCCCUUGUCAAAGCCCAACUUGCGCAGUCUUGGCCCCCCCUUGCCGAACGGCAAUGGUCAUGUACAUGGCCCACCUGCCAAGCGCUCACUACUUGCCUCAACUCUCCAUACCUGGGUUCACGCAAGUUCAAGCGACCCAGCCUCCUUGCCAAAAACCCAAACUUUGGCCACCAUGGUCCCAGCCUCUUGCUAUAUGCUAAGCCAACUAAUGCAUGGUACCUUUGCCGAACAACAAGGGAUUCGCUCAGGCAAAGUGAUGUGCUAAUGGGUCUCUCUCAUUGCCGAAGCCAAGACCAGGCCCAGCCCCACGUGGCCCAGCGCAUCCCACUUGCCGAAACAUCGGGCCACAGCCACAAGGUACCUAACAAAAAAAAAAGCUAUUAUUAUUAUUAUUUCUUCAAAUAAUAAUAAAAAAAUGCAUUCUUGCAUUUUUCCCUUCAGCACCCUUGUGCCUUAGGCAUCCCCUUUGCCUUCGGCUUUGGCAUCCCCGUGCCUAGCCACAUCGCCUUGCGAUGUGCAAGCUUUGUAUCACCUUCGGCACCCUUGUGCCCCAUUGUCUUGCGACAUGUAAUUCUUAGGCCUUCGGCACCCCCGUGCCCAAGCCACAUUGCCUUGCGACAUGCACGCUUUGUGUCGCCUUCGGCACCCUCAUGUCUAGGCACAUCGCCUUGCGACAUGCAAGCUUUGUGUCACCUUCGGCAUCUCUUUUGCCUUUAACACCUCCGUGCCUAGCUGCAUUGCCUUGCAAACAUGCAAGCUUUGUGUCACCUUCGGCAUCCCAUUUGCCUUCAGCACCUCCGUGUCUAGCUGCAUUGCCUUGCAAACAUGCAAGCUUUGGGUCUCCUUCGACACCCUCGUGCCUAGGCGCAUCGCCUUGCGACAUGCAAGCUUUGUGCCUUUGACAUCCCCUUUGCCUUCGGUACCCCCAUGCCUAGCUGCAUUGCCUUGCAAACAUGCAAGCUUUGUGUCGCCUUCGACACCCUCGUGCCUAGCCACAUUACCUUGCAAAAUACUAGCUUUGUGUUGCCUUUGGCACCCCCUUGCCUAACCACACCUUGUGUCGCCUUCGGCACCCCAGUGCUUGGCCACAUCGCCUUGCGACACACAAGCUUUGUGCCUUCGGCAUUCCUCUGCCCUCGGCACCUCCGUGCCUAGUUACAUCGUCUUGCGACAUGCAAGCUUUGUGCCUUCGGCACCCCCGUGCCUAGCCACAUUGCUUUGCGACACGCAAGCUCUGUGUUAUCUUCGGCACCCUCAUGCCUAGCCACAUCGCCUUGCGACAUGUAAGCUUUGUGCCUUCGGCACCCCUUUACCUAGCCAGAUCGCCUGGCAACAUACAAGCUUUGUGCCUUCGGCAUCCCUUUGCCUUCGGCAUCCCUUUGCCUUCGGCACCCCCGUGCCUAGCCACAUCGUCUUGCAACAUGCAAGCUUUAUGUCUUCGGCACCCUCGUGCCUAGCCACAUUACCUUGCAACAUACUAGCUUCGUGUUGCUUUCGGCACCCCCGUACCUAGCCACACCUUGUGUCACCUUCGGCACCCCCGUGUCUAAGCACAUCGCCUUGCAAACAUGCAAGUUUUGUGUCACCUUUGGCACCCUCGUGCCUAGGCCCAUCGCCUUGCGACAUACAACUUUGUGCCUUCUACAACCUCUUAAACUUCGGCACCCUCGUGCCAAGUUCUUUCCCUUCCAAAUGUCUUUCUUACCUGGGGACUUGGGGGACUAUGGGCAGUGCACUAUACAGCUUGGAAGAUGAAUUAUGGUGUUGCUCGGCCAGUGCACUUAAAAUUACAAGUCCCCAUCCAAGAAGUACCUUCUUACUCGAGAACUUGGGGGGCUACUGUUUGUACCAUAACUGACCGAGCAACUAGCUAGGCUAGAUCAUUCGAGUGCCAUGCUUUGAGAGGUCAUCACCUUAGCCAAAGAAGCAUCACCACAAAUCACAACUCUAAGCAAAGCAAGAGGAGUCCCACAUCGGAAAACUACAAGAGAUGGAGACUCUCCCUCACCUAUAAAAGAAGACUACUCUCCUAUGAGAAAGGGACUCUCUCUUCUGGAUCCAUCUUUAUCCUAGGCUUCUCACCUGUUAUCUUUAUAUUUGGGUCUAAUCCCCUUGUACAAAUGUAAACAAACAUUAUCAUAAUGAGAACACUAUUCUCUGUGGACGUAGUCCAUCGUUCGAGUGAACCACGUAUAUCUUGUCUUCUAUAUGUUUAUCACUUACCCAAAUCCUCACACACUUGGUGAAGGUCCUCACCUUCAUCCAUCAUCUAUCACACCUCAUCACUAAGUUGGACUCAACCUUGGCCUAACUAUUUUGAGCAUCAACAGAGGUAAUGACCUAAUGCCUUGUUCAAGGGGCAUAACUUCUUCACGGGGUCACACCAUUUUCUUUGACUUCUGCAACUGAUGUUCCUUUCAGUUCAUCUUUUGUUCCAUUACAUUUCACCUCGUCUUUAGCAUUACAAGAUAUUUCCUUCUCUUCCUCUUCUUUCUCUACCUUUUAUUUUGCUUCUUCCUCUGCUUCUUGCUUGCUUCUUCCUCUGCCUUCACUCUUGCCUCCACCUUAGCAGCCUCAAAUCAAGCUCUUCAAACAAGAGUCUGCAUCCCCUGUAUCAGAUUUAGGCAUCAAAUUCUCAGCAACAUCAGCCGGGGUCAUAUUGAUUUCCCCCAACAAACGCUCGAUGGAUCCAAACGACUCAUGUGAUUCUACAUCCAAAUAAUUCCUGGCAAGCACUUUGAAUGCUUCAUCGGGUAGUCUUUAAAAUAAAAUAAAAUUUUAAAUAUACUAUAUGUAUUUUAAUAUGAUUUUAGUAGUCCACCCAAAUGCCUAGUAACCCACCAUUAUCCAUUUAACUUUAUAGGUCUAUAAUCAUCUUAUAUUUAAAUUGUUUGCUUAUUUAAGAAACAUAAUCUCUUAAUAAACAUUCGUAACUUUCUACAUUUUACUAUUUUCUCCCAUUGUUUCCUUCUUCAAUAUUCAAUGUUAACGGUCAUCAUAUCACUCUUUACAAUUAACUAACAGGGUUGAUAUAAUUUAAUGUAUACUUUUAUUUCUAAAAUUACUAUAUAUAAAAAAAUCAUUAGAUUUUAAGCCAAUAAGUUUAGCUACUCCACCCGUUGAAAAAUUUAUGAUUCCGCAUUGGCUUCGUAGCAACAAUAGGACAACUGAAUAUGCUUGUCCAUUCUUCCCCUUCUAAUGAAAGCAAGAUCGAGUUUGUCCACAUAGUUAGGGGUGAACACAAUCAGUCUCUCCUCUCCACAAGCUGACCAAAUCCCAUCAGUAAAGUUCAACAGCCCAGACAAAGUGACCUUGCUCGUUGUGGCUUCUUCUUCUUUAGGCCUUUUAGGAAUUGAGUCCUUUUCAUCUCCAUCUUUCUUCUCCUUCUCUUCCUUCUUUUUCUCUCGAUGUUCGGUAAGAUCAAGCGAGCAAUCAAUGUCCUUGAUCACGAUAAUCGCCUUGCCAGUUAUGGCGAUCAACAUCUUCCUCAGCUCAGUGUUGUCCUUGACAAUAGUUAAUUCGAGAUCAUAGACAUCAUAGUGUUGAAGAAUACACAUAGUCCCACAUCGAAAACUUAACAAAAUAGAAAGUCUCGUAUAAUGAAUGGCUCCACUCCUGAUAAUAUCGAGGCAUUGUGUAUAAAACCCCACACCUGCUAAACAGGUGGUUAAGUUGUGGACAAUAUCGAUGUUGCUGGGUCAAGGGUUUGUCCCUCUGAAAUUUUAACACAUAGUUCAUGAGGUUAGACAUGGCAAAGAUCAUGGUAGACUUGCCGGUGCCCAGUGGCUCGUAAAGGAGAUAUCCACGCUUCCCAGCCUUGCCAAUUUUCUUGUAGUAGUCUUUCCCUUUGCUGAACUUAAGGAGAUCAUUGAUGAUCGCUUGCUUCUCUUUUGGGUCCAUUGCCAAGGACUCAAAUGUUGCAGGGUGCUCAAACACCAUAUGGCUCCACUUAGCCUCCAAUCGUGGAUCCAAGAUGAGCAAACUUGUCUGCUGGAACCAUGUUUGCAACUUUGCCUAUUCUUUCUUGGCCUCUGUAUCUUCUUGUUUUUCUGAGAAGAUGUAUGUAUCUAUGUAUGUUACCAUUUAUAUACACGGGGGUGAAGAUUAUUUUAUUAUAUUUUAUUGGAAAAGGCCUUGGUGUGAGUCGGUAUUGAUUAUUCUGUGUGAAUACCAUCAAACAUUUCUGGUCCAAAAUUGACUGGUAGAUUUUGUCUCAAUGCCAGAAGUCGGCAAAGGCUGUGUGGAGACGUGGACUCGUUUUCUUGCUCGAUGGGUAAAUAAGCGAAAUGGAAAUUAUUUAUUCCGUGACAUCAUUAAUUAACAUCAUAUAACAAUGAUCUCACAAUCCUUUAGCUCAGCAUCAUACACAUUCUGUCUAAGCAGUUUCCUUUCAGUUUGAAUUAUAGUCAACGGAAAUUUGGAAAAGAAAAUGCCUCUUUGAUCUUAGGAGAUUCUCCAAUAAGUAUUUUAUGUUAAUGAUUACUUACAUAUUUCUAAUCUCGACCGUUAGAUUGAAGGUAUGUUGCAUAAAAACAUGUAACCAAUCCUUAACGUAAAUACUUAUUGGAGAAUAAUUCCUUCGAUCCCGAAGUAAAUCAUGAACCAAAACGUUUGCCAAGUAAGAAGGAAAUAUCAAUAAGUAGACACAGUAAAAAGAAGGAAAAAUCAGUUGUUGCAACUUAAGCUUAACAUGAAAUUAAAAAUGCAUAUAGACAGAAUAUUUUACAAGUCCAUUGAACGAUUCUUUUUACACAUAAACAAAAACACAGAUUGAUCAGGGCAGAUUGUUUUCUUAUUACAAUAUGUACAGAAAGGUUGAAAUUAUAUACAUACUUUCACUGGUUUCAUCUGAUGUUCCAUUCAUUUUGCAUCUUCCUCUUUAGCUGAUGUUCCGUUACAUUUCACUUCAUCUUUAGCAGGCUCCUGUUUCUCCUUCUCUUCUUUUUCUGCCUUCAGUUUUGCUUCUUCCUCUGCCUUCUUACUUGCUUCUUCUUCCUCAGCCAUCUUUCUUGCCUCCUCCUUUGCACUCUCAAGAGCUUCAAUAAAUUUCUUCAAGCAAGAGUCUGCAUCCUCUGUAACAGAGUUGGGCAUCAAAUUCUCUGCAACAUCAGCAGGAAUCAUAUUGGUUUCACCCAACAAACGCUCAAUGGUUUCGAACAAUUCAUGAGACUCUAAAUCCAAAUAGUUCUUGGCAAGCACUUUGAAUGCCUCAUAGCAGCAGUAGGACAACUCUAUGUGCUUGUCCAUCCUUCCUCUUCUUAUGAGAGCAGGAUCAAGUUUGUCCACAUAAUUAGUGGUAAACACAAUCAGUCUUUCCCCACCACAAGCUGACCAAAUCCCAUCAAUAAAGUUCAACAGCCCAGAAAGAGUAACCUUGCUUGGUUGGCUCUCUUCUUUUUCCAUCUUUUUCUUAACUGGAUCCUUUUCUUCAUUAUCCUCCUCAUCCUUCUCCUUUUUCUUCUUCCGCUGACCGGUAAGAUCGAGCGAGCAAUCAAUGUCCUCGAUCACGAUAAUAGACUUACUAGGCGUGUCAAUCAGUAGCUUCCUCAGCUCAGUGUUAUCCUUCACCGUCGUUAAUUCGAGAUCAUAGACGUCGUAGUCCAUGAGGUUCGACAUGGCUGCAAUCAUGGUAGACUUUCCAGUGCCUGGUGGCCCAUAAAGGAGAUAGCCGCGCUUCCAAGCCUUGCCAAUUUUCGCAUAGUACUCUUUCCCCUUUCUGAACUUGAUGAGGUCAUUGACAAUCUCUUCCUUCAUUUUGGGGUGCAAGGCCAAGGUCUCAAAUGUUGCCGGGUGCUCAAAGACUACAUGGCUCCAUGUUGACCCUCUGUAUGUAUACCAAUUCCGGGAAGGAUUGUUGACAUAAAGCUUCCGUUGCCUAUUUCCCACUGUUAUUGCCUUCCCCUCUUUGAUCACGUGAGCAAGAUAAGCCCCUGUGACGACAUCUCGAUGGCGUCUGUGGAAGGUGAGCUUAUAAUGCUUCUUCUCGUCAGAUUGAGGGUAGAAAGAAAAUGAAGUCUGUCGAGGCUCUCUUUUCACCAACACCCACCAGACUUUAAUGCCUUGAAAUUCAUCAGUCACUUCUUCAUUGUCGUCCAUGGCAAGGACCAGAGACUUGCUGUCUUUGACAUCAUGAGCUUUUAGGCGUCUCACUAUUGUCGAAGACUUGGUGCUGAGGUAGCUUUGGAUGGCAGAAUAGACUUCGCUGCGUUUGCGAAACUCGUUGGUGUACUCAUCAAAGGUGAUUUGGAUGUAAGGGUAGAAAAGUUUCACUAAUUGGUGGGUAUAUUUAUCAACAUAGUAGCGAAGUUGAGGGGGAAGGUAUUGUCGAAAAACAGUGCACACAAACAUCACACUGGCAAUCACCGAGCCCAGUUGAGGCCCCAUUUCUCCCAUCCUCAUCAUCAUUUUUUUCUUUUGGAAAUAAACCCUUGAAGGUCAGGUUUGUUCUUACUACAUUGAAACACACGGUUUGGUUUAUAUACAGCCACAACAGGGGAGAGUUACAAGAGUCUAUUUUCUUGGAAACUAAGUUACUUAGACCUACAAGCUUCCAAGUCUUUUCUUUACUAUAUUUUAUUGAUUAAAAGAAACCAGGAGGAAGCAUGCUUGAUUGAUCGUAGGAAGCCUACCAAAUUUGACGACCAAACAACAACUAUUUCCACAAGUCACUGUCAUGACGAACUACUGAUGCAAAAGCAUAGCCCUUCCUUCCCCCUUUGCUGGUUAAUAUGCAGAAAAAGAAUCUGGUGAAUAUGCAUAGCAAUUACGCCAUAUAUAGACAAAGGAAAAAGAAUCUCGUAUCGCAUGUCUAAGCCUAAUGUAUAGGACACUUCUGAUUGGAUUGUAAUACCAGCUGAAUUCAUGGAAGACCAACCUUACAUUGAAAGAUGCAGAUUUGUUGCAUGGUUUCUUUCUUGUUUGGCUCUGUUGACUAGCUGGUCCAGGGUGCUCCUAAAGAGAGGCGAUUAGGUGAUGCCAAAUAAAACGACAUACAGAUGGGCAUUGUACUAUAAAUUAAAACAAAAAAAACAAUUGAAAAAGGUGAGUUACUUGAAAAAUGUUAUCAACUACGUUUGCAAAGAGUGUACAAGUUUGAAUCUCCCUCUCCUGAUAAAAAAUUAAAAUUAAAAAUGUUAGGCCUGCUACUAAACUCCGAAAAAACUUCAAUAAAUAAGGAUGAUAAUUGAUAAAGCACAUACAAAAGUAACGAACAUGUAAUUGACAUCUUUCAUAUGACAUAAAGACUACACGUCACAUAUCUUCAAGAGGUAAUGGCCUAAUGCCUUGUUCAAGGGGCAUAACUUCUUCACGGGGUCACACCAUUUUCUUUGACUUCUGCAACUGAUGUUCCUGUCACUUCAUCUUUUGCUCCGUUACAUGUCACUUCAUCUUUACCAUUAGCAGAUUUUUCCUUCUCUUUCUCUGCCUUCAAUUUUGCUUCUUCCUCUGCUUUCUUGCUCGCUUCUUCCUCUGCCUUCACUCUUGCCUCCACCUUAGCAGCCUCAAGAGCUUCAAUCAAGCUCUUCAAACAAGAGUCUGCAUCCUCUGUAUCAGAUUUAGGCAUCAAAUUCUCAGCAACAUCAGCCGGGGUCAUAUCGGUUUCCCCCAACAAACGCUCGAUGGUUCCAAACAACUCAUGUGAUUCUACAUCCAAAUAAUUCCUUGCAAGCACUUUGAAUGCUUCAAAGCAACAGUAGGACAGCUGAAUAUGCUUGUCCAUCCUUCCCCUUCUAAUGAGAGCAGGAUCAAGUUUGUCCACAUAGUUUGUGGUGAACACAAUCAGUCUCUCCCCUCCACAAGCUGACCAAAUCCCAUCAAUAAAGUUCAACAGCCCAGACAGAGUGACCUUGCUCGUUGUGGCUUCUUCUUCUUCAGGCCUUUUAGGAAUUGGGUCCUUUUCAUCCCCAUCUUUCUUCUCCUUCUCUUCCUUCUUCUUCUUUCGCUGUCCGGUCAGAUCAAGCGAGCAAUCAAUGUCCUCGAUCACGAUAAUCGCCUUACCAGUUAUGUCAAUCAACAGCUUCCUCAGCUCGGUGUUGUCCUUGACAGCAGUUAACUCAAGAUCAUAGACAUCAUAGUUCAUGAGGUUAGACAUGGCAGAGAUCAUGGUAGACUUGCCGGUGCCCGGUGGCCCGUAUAGGAGAUAUCCACGCUUCCAAGCCUUACCAAUCUUCUUGUAGUAGUCCUUCCCCUUGCUGAACUUAAGGAGAUCAUUGAUAAUUGACUGCUUCUCUUUUGGCUCCAUUGCCAAGGUCUCAAAUGUUGCAGGGUGCUCAAACACUACAUGGCUCCACUUAGCCCCCUUCUCAGUAUUGUUGAUGUAAAGCUUGCGCUGCCUAUUGCUCAAUGCAAUUGCCUUCCCUUCUUGCCUCACAUGGUCAAGAUAAGAGCCCAUGACCAAAUCCCUGUGGCGUCUGUGGAAGGUCAGCUUGUAGUGCUUCCUCUCGUCAUAGUCAGGAAAGAAAGAGAAAGAUGUCUUUUUAGACGCACUUUUCAUUGAAGCCCACCAGAGCUUGAUGCCCUGAAAUUCAUCGGUGACCUCUUCGUUGUCAUCCAUGCCGAGAACAAGGGCCGUGCUGCCCUUGACAUCAUGAGCCUUGAGCCGUUUUGCUCGUGUGGAGGACUUGGUGCUGAGGUAGCUUUGGAUGGAGGCAUAGACUUCGCUGCGUUUGUGAAACUCAUUGGUGUAUUCAUCAAAGGAGAUUUGGAUGUAAGGGUAGACAUAGCCCACCAGUUUUUUGGUGUAUUUGUCAAGGAUGUUGCCAAGAUCGUCUGGGAGGAAUUGUUUGAACAUGGCAUAGACAAACAUCAUGCUGGCCAUCACUGAGCCCAGCUGAGCCCACAUUUCCCCCAUCUUCAUCAUCUUUCUCCUCUGCACUGACACUGACAAAUUGUUGAAAUUGAUAAAUAAAUAAAUAAAUAAAGAAGUAGUGGUUUCCUUUUUGCCAUGACACCGACGAACUUGUGUUUAUAUAAGGAGGAAGAGAGUUUCUGUCGGUGAUCAAGAGAGAGAGCAGCCUCUCGCGUCUCAUCAAAACUCAAUUUCGUUUAAGCUUCCACUCAAUUUCCUUUUCAUCUCAGCGGCAGCCUACCAUGUUUGACCAUUGCAAAAGUUAAUGCAAAUAUCACCCUCAGAGCAUUAAGCUGUGGCAUGCACCAAACAAUAUCAACCUUUUUGACCCAAAAAAAAAAACCAAUAUGGACCUUUGAAUGACUGGUUGGUGAAUGUGAGCUAAUCCACAGCAUUGAUCCAGUUUAGUAUUCCUAUGCUAUGAAAAUAAUCGUUUUUUUACUGCUUAUGUAGGUUAAAUUUUUAAUGAAAACAAAAACAAACAAAAAUAGCUGGAACGUGAAACACCUUCCACUGCUGCUCUCACUCUCUCUGUUCCACCAUUGCUCUUGCUCUCUUUUCUUCAUGUUGGGUUUCUUGGUUCGAACGCCCCCCUUCAACUAUUAUAGUCAAUUAGAGUUAGGGGCAAAUACGGGUCCAUUUACCAUGAAAUCAAUAUUAGUGCUCGGUCUUCGUUUGGUAAUUUUCAUUAUCAAUUUUAUAACUUUAUUAUGUCUCUGAAUUGGUUGUUUUCAGUAUGAGCAAAUUACAUCUUGGAAUUGGAAUUGAGAAAUUUAUGAGUGAGUUGUUGUUAUUAUUGUGGUGUGCAAAAUUGUGUAAUGUUGGUUGUGGGGACUUGAAGAAAAUUUUGGUUGGACCACCAGUUUGCAUCAUCAAGAUCAGAAGCUUAUAUCCAAAGACAUGGAGAUGCGACCAAAUGCAUAGACUUACUUUAAAGAAAGGUGCGCAACUUUUUGGGAAAGCCACAUAAAUCUCAAUUUCUCAACAAACAAAAAAAAUCUCAAUUUCUCAUAAGAAUAUGAGAAUUGAUACUUUGUUGGGUUAAAUAUCUUUUUUGUCAUUAAGUUUUACACAAAAUUUCAAAUUGGUCACUAUUUUACUCAAAGUUUACAAUUUAUAGACAUUCCAUUAACUUCCUUUAAGUGGCUCACGUGCAUGACACGUGUAAAGCCUUUAAUGAUUGAAUCUAAAGAAGUAUAGAGUUCAACGCUGAACCCUAUAGAGUCGUUAAUGGUUGAAUCAAGAGGAACAUUUUUUUGUGAGUUAUUUACACUAACACCUUUUCAUUGAUUUUUCGUCUAAAGAUUGAUGAUUUUCAGCAAGGGAUGGCUUUCAAUGGAAAGCAUACCAAAACUGCCAGAUCUCAAGGAGGAAAUUUCAAGUCUCUGUGGAACAAGAAGCCACUAGAUUAAUGGGCGUGUCCCAAAUAAGCUCCAACAUAUUGCCAACUGCUGUCCAUUUGUUCAAGCGGAGGGUGAUUUCCUCUCAGGUCUGUUCAAGGCGUGGAAAAUAUUAUGCGGAUGCUUGUCAUGCCGUUCGGUUCUGCAAACUUAGGAAAUUCUGGAGGUCUACUAAUGAUGGGCUAUAAAGGUUUCACUCGUUUUGUGGUUGCACUUGCAAGUGACAAUCAAGAAGUUGUAUCUAUGCCCAAAGGAAUAACGGACUGGUGGAGCAAUGUAGGAGGAAGUCCUUCUCUAUUGGUUUGGUUGGAUCCCUCUGUGUAGGGUGUUGUUAUCACCAAUUUUCUGUAAUUGCCAUGUUCAUUAAUGAAUAUCCCCUAUUGUCUCGCAAAACAAAUAUAUUUAUAGUUGACAUCUUUCAUACGACAAACAAAGACAACAAGUCACAUCUUCAAGAGGUAACGGCCUAAUGCCUUGUUCAAUGGGCAUAAUGACUUCUUCUUCAAGGGGUCACACCAUUUUCUUUUACUUCUGCAACGGAUGUUCCUUUCACUUCAUCUUUUGUUCCAUUACAUUUCACUUAUCUUUAGAAUUACCAGAUUUUUCCUUCUCUUUCUCUUCCUUCUCUGCCUUCAAUUUUGCUUCUUCCUCUGCUUUCUUUCUUGCUUCUUCCUCUGCCUUCACUCUUGCCUCCACCUUAGCAGCCUCGAGUGCUUCAAUCAAGCUCUUCAAACAAGAGUCUGCAUCCUCUGUAUCAGAUUUGAGCAUCAAAUUCUCAGCAACAUCAGCCGGAGUCAUAUCGGUUUCUCCCAACAAACGCUCGAUGGUUCCAAACAACUCAUGUGAUUCUACAUCCAAAUAAUUCCUUGCAAGCACUUUGAAUGCUUCAAAGCAACAGUAGGACAGCUGAAUAUGCUUGUCCAUUCUUCCUCUUCUAAUGAGAGCAGGAUCAAGUUUGUCCACAUAGUUUGUGGUAAACACAAUCAGUCUCUCCCCUCCACAAGCUGACCAAAUCCCAUCAAUAAAGUUGAGCAGCCCAGACAGAGUGACCUUGCUUGUUGUGGUUUCUUCUUCUUCAGGCUUUUUAGGAAUCGGGUCCUUCUCAUCCCCAUCUUUUUCCUCUUCUUGCUUCUUCUUCUUCUUCCGUUGUCCGGUAAGAUCAAGCGAGCAAUCAAUGUCCUCGAUCACGAUAAUCGCCUUACCAGUUAUAUCAAUCAACAGCUUCCUCAGCUCUGUGUUGUCCUUGACAGCAGUUAACUCGAGAUCAUAGACAUCAUAGUUCAUGAGAUUAGACAUGGCAGAGAUCAUGGUAGACUUGCCCGUGCCCGGUGGCCCGUAUAGAAGAUAUCCACGCUUCCAAGCCUUACCAAUUUUCUUGUAGUAGUCUUUCCCCUUGCUGAACUUCAUGAGAUCAUCGAUGAUCGAUUGCUUGUCUUUCGGGUCCAUUGCCAAGGUCUCAAAUGUUGCAGGGUGCUCAAACACUACGUGGCUCCACUUGGCACCCUUCCCUGUAUUGUUGAUGUAAAGCUUGCGCUGCCUAUUGCUCACUGCAAUUGCCUUCCCUUCCUGCCUCACAUGGUCAAGAUAAGACCCCAUCACAAUAUCCCUGUGGCGUCUGUGGAAGGUCAACUUGUACUGCUUCCUCUCUUCAUACUCAGGAUAGAAAGAGAAAGAUGACUUUUUAGACGCACUUUUCAUUGAAACCCACCAGAGCUUGAUGCCCUGAAACUCAUCGGUGACCUCUUCGUUGUCGUCCAUGCCGAGAACAAGGGCCUUGCUGCCCUUAACAUCGUGAGCCUUGAGGCGUUUUGCUUUGGUGGAGGACUUGGUGCUGAGGUAGCUUUGGAUGGAAGAAUAAACUUCGCUGCGUCUUAAAAACUCAACUGUGUAUUCAUCAAAGGAGAUUUGGAUGUAAGGGUAGACAUAACCCACCAAUUUUUGGGUAUAUUUUUCAAGGAUGUUGCCAAGAUCGUCUGGGAAGAAUUGUUUGAACAUGGCAUAAGCGAACAUCAUGCUGGCCAUCACUGAGCCCAUCUGUGUCCACAGUUCCCCCAUCUUCGUCAUCUUCCUCUACUGCACUGUUUGUUGAAAUUGAUGAAGGAAACGACUAUGGACUGGAUUUCUUUUUGCUAUUACACAGACGAGUUUGUAUUUAUAUAAGGAAGAAGAGAAGGUUUCUCUUGGUGAUCAAGAAAGAUGACUCACGGUGCAAACAAAAUACGACGCACUCCAUCUGAGAGAAACGCAGUUUCCUUGAAACUUUCCCAGCCAACCGUGUUUGACCAUUCUAAAGGUUACUUACUCCAAUUAUCUAUAAUCUAUUUAAAACAAUGUCUUUUACCAUUUCACCCCUCACGUCUAGUCGGUACAUUUGGAACCAGUAAGUUUGGACAAUCACACCAAAUAUGCAUAUAUGAGGAGAUGGUGUUUGUACUGAAGGUUAAAAUAUCACCUUGCUCAGAGAAAAACUUCUCGAUCAAUAAUGGAGUGUCAUAUCAAAGUAUUAGCACUCGUGUCAUAAAACUAGUGUCAAUGUCAUAUGAAAGUAUUGGAUAAAACUAUGGGGUAGCAAAAUAGCAAUAUCCAACCACAUUAUUUCAAGAGUAUUGGUCCUCGUUCUGGUGAAAUUUCUGAGGUACAAUCAGUUUGAUAUCUGCCACCUAAUUCAACUUCAUUUACUUCGUAACGUGCAAUCUUUAAGAAAUCUUUACUCAUCCGGAUUUAGAGUCAAUUGGCAAGGGUAAAAGCCUAAACCUGUGGCCAAAUAUAGUGAGGCCCAAGAAAUUACUUUUGAAUUGUUCAAAUCCUGAUACUGUCUGUUCUUGUGUGAAAACAGAAUGUACGUCUCAUGGCAUGUCCCAAAUGGUAAAGGCAGCAACGCUGCUCCACAAGGCGAUGGAAUAUGAGACCGCCCCGUAACGGAGGAGCUCCCUCCCACGAAUGGGAAGGAGUACCGGUCGACGUUACAUGGCUUGCUUUGUGACGCUUACUUGGGAAUCUACAAUCAUAAUUACUUCUUGCUCCCAUUCAAAAGCAUGAGAAUUCGAGACAGAAAUCUCACGUCACAUUACAUACCAAUCAAAAUCUUCAAACUUUCUUUCACAAAAUUGAAAACAGUUUCAUGAAAUCAACAAAUUCUGCUCAGAAAACUAGAAUUUUAAUUCUCAUUGAUUGUGAAAUCUCUGAAGUCUGACAUGUGAAAUUUAUCCAGAAUUCAUCACUGCAGAAUAACACAGGCAUAAUGAAAAUUAAACAAGAAAAACACACACUAAAAAUUUAGCAGUAACUCUCAUACAUUCUCUAGAAGUUUCUCCGGUCAUGUAAUAAUCGGAAUAGCGUAUAUUGCCCAUUUCAGGCAGGUAAUCACAGAGCAACCACUAAAAAGAAAGAAAACUUUCAAAAACUUCAAUUUAAAUUGAGCGUAUUUAUAAAAGAGCGAUCAGAGUUGGUUAAGGUUUGUCGGUCACGGUUAAAUCAGAAACACGGACCAAUAAGUUCCUCAUCAUAUCACUUGGAAAUUAAAAAAACAAAAUUCAUGAAUAUAAAUAAAUAAAAAUUGGUGAAGAUGAAGGAACGAAACAAAUCAUCAGAGACUUAAAUACAAAGAAUCAUGGAAAUUGGAGCGUAUCCAUCAUAUUGUUGCAGUUUUUUUCUCAUCAGCUGAUUUGAAAUUCGAUUCUCAGAAAAGGAAAACCGGAGGACAGAGGAGAAAAGAGAUUUUGUAUUUUUGCUUGUGUGCGGAUGUUGAAACCAAACCCUAAAUCGAAAAGAAGAAGACGAUGAUUCUGAAUUCUACAAGCGCGUAUUUAUAUAGGUCUAUUGGCU